UCAGACGAUGCGUCAUGCAUAUCAAUAAGCGGAGGAAAAGAAACUAACGAGGAUUCCCUCAGUAACGGCGAGUGAAGCGGGAAGAGCUCAAAUUUGAAAUCUUGAAAGGUCACCUUUCACGAAUUGUAGUUUAAAGAAGUGUUUUCUGUUACGAUCGUAAUAUAAGUUCUUUGGAAUAGGACAUCACAGAGGGUGAGAAUCCCGUCUAUGAUUGCGAUUUGUAGCUUUGUGAUACACUUUCAAAGAGUCGGGUUGUUUGGGAAUGCAGCCCAAAACGGGAGGUAAAUUUCUUCUAAGGCUAAAUAUUGGCGAGAGACCGAUAGCGAACAAGUACCGUGAGGGAAAGAUGAAAAGAACUUUGAAAAGAGAGUUAAAUAGUACGUGAAAUUGUCAAAAGGGAAGCGUUUAACACCAGUGUUGUUUUCUGAAAAUCAACCUCUGUUAGCUUUAUGCAUGUUUGUUUAGACCUAAUCAGCUAUCUUGCAUGUUCUAUUGUUUGCAGUGGUGCACUUUUCAGUUUACAGGUCAACAUCAGUUUUUUUUACCGUAAAAAAGUUAAAGAAAGGUAGCUCAUGGCUCCGGUCGUGAGUGUUAUAGUCUUUUUCCUAUGCGGUAGGAGAGACUGAGGUCUGCAGUGUAGGCUAUUUGGCUAGAUACUCAGGUGCUAUGUGAUACCAUUUCAUAAACAACUUGUUGAUUAUGUUUUGUCUAUUGCAUACUCGCUUGUACUAUCAUACCUACGCUUAGGAUGUUGAAGACUCUACAGAGAUA
rnacentral:rRNA from 1 species